CAUAAAUUUUGCAUCCCAAAAUUUGAUGCAAAAUUUACACCACCUUAACACCAUCUUCAAUUGUCUUUGACAUCACAUCAUGUUACUUCCUACUCGUUCCAAAACAAAUAAUCCUCCUCUUGGACCACACCAUUUGACUUUCUAUUUUAGUUACUUGUCACAAACAAAUAUAAGAGCAGACCAGUUGAAUUUACACUCUCAGUCUAUUUGCACUCCCAUGUAUUUACACCUGAAUAAAGAAAUAUUGGAAGCCGUUAUAUAUUGAGCCGUCGGGUGAAACAACUAAUCAAUUUAUAAGGGAAAUAUCGUCUGAGCUAGUUUGCUACUCUACCGGCCUUUGAUUUGGUUUGUGAUGCCGACUGCUGAGACAGAGAGAGUCAACCCAAACAGCUGUCUUUAUUACCUACUUCACUAUUCUGCCUACCAUGCAUAUAUGAUCCACAAAAUGAGGAAACUAGAUGUGUGUAGACGCUUAGAAAAGUUAAAGUGAAGAUUACCAUUCACCGUCAAAAUGGGCGGUUUUCCGGUGAAGACUUUUGCUGUAUUACUGGUUCUCUUCCUUCUUCUGAUGAGCAGUACUACUUCAGCGAAUCCCACCAUAUCUUUUCAUGGUGAUGAGAAAAGUCUAUGGUGGUUAUCUGCUUCUCUAGGCGAACGACCAAGAAAGGUUUAACCAGGCAACAAAGGUUGUAUUCCAGAUGGAAAAAGUAAAAUAAAAACUGAUGAGGAGAAAGAGAAAUGGUCUCGAAACCUCCUAACACAAAUAUUGUCACCACCACCACUGCCAUAUAAAAAUAAGCCAUUGUCAUAUGCAUAUAGAUUGGCACCUCCUCCACGCAGCUAAUAUAUUGAUGAGCGCUAGUCAUUUCUUCU